rnacentral:sRNA from 1 species
UUUAGCGUCCUUUAAGUUACAGAUGUGCGUGGGGCUCCGUGAGGAGGUGGGCGAAGAGAAAGGCUCUGAGUAAAUAGGUGCCCCCUGAUAAGUGCCGAUGUGCCGUGGGCAGCAUCCUGAGUGAAGGUGAGGAAUCGCCCUCCCCUGAGCUUAUCGACCUCUACCAGAAAUUUGGCUUCAAGGGGUUCUCCUUCCCGGCACCCAGCCAUGUGGUGACAGCCACCUUCCCCUACACCACCAUCCUGUCCAUCUGGCUGGCUACCCGCCGUGUCCAUUCUGCCUUGGACACCUACAUCAAGGAGCGGAAGCUGUGUGCCUAUCCUCGGCUGGAGAUCUACCAGGAAGACCAGAUCCAUUUCAUGUGCCCACUGGCACGGCAGGGAGACUUCUAUGUGCCUGAGGUGAAGGAGACAGAGCGGAAAUGGCGGGGGCUUGUGGAGGCCAUUGACACCCAGGUGGAUGGCACAGGAGCUGACACAAUGAGUGACACGAGUUCUGUAAGCUUGGAAGUGAGCCCUGGCAGCCGGGAGACUUCAGUUGCCACACUGUCACCU